CUAAGGGUUCCUGGGUCAAGCUGAUCUGCCCAGGGUAAGUCGGGACCUAAGGCGAGGCCGACAGGCGUAGUCGAU
rnacentral:tRNA from 1 species